UACGUAGGGUGCGAGCGUUGUCCGGAAUUAUUGGGCGUAAAGGGCUCGUAGGCGGUUUGUCGCGUCGGGAGUGAAAUCCACUGGCUUAACUGGUGGCUUGCUUUCGAUACGGGCAGACUGGAGGUAUGCAGGGGAGAACGGAAUUCCUGGUGUAGGCGGUGAAAUGCGCAGAUAUCAGGAGGAACACCGGUGGCGAAGGCGGUUCUCUGGGCAUGUCCUGACGCUGAGGCACGAAAGCUAGGGGAGCAAACAGG
rnacentral:rRNA from 1 species